GUCGCCGUGCGCUAACGGAUAAGGCGUCUGACUGCGAAUUGGAAAAUUGCAGGUUUGAAUCCUGUCGCAGACG
rnacentral:tRNA from 1 species